GCUUACGGCCAUACCAACCUGGCUAUGCCCGAUCUCGUCUGAUCUCGGAAGCUAAGCAGGUUUGGGCCUGGUUAGUACUUGGAUGGAGACCGCCUGGGAAUACCAGGUGCUGUAAGCU
ensembl:rRNA 5S_rRNA 5S ribosomal RNA